ACUACAUUCAGCCAAUCUGCUUAGCCUCAGAGAGCAGCACUUUCUACAAUGGGACCAGCAGCUGGGUCACUGGUUUUGGUUAUGAUGAUAGCUACCAAUUUCCCAACAUCCUGCAGGAAGUUAAAGUACCAAUGGGAAACAAUGAGUGCAGAUGUUACUUUGGAGACUACUACCACCGUUUCCCACAGAUUACAGAGAACGUUACCUGCACAGGGCCCAAAUUUGAUUGGACGGGUCCAUGUAAUGUAGAUCAAGGAGAACCACUCAUGAUGAAGUCAGGAGAAGUCUGGGUCCAGAUUGGAAUUACGAGUUAUAGUACUUGUUGGGGACCUUCAAUCUACACUCGUUUGUCCCAAUACCAGAAAUGGAUCAGUGACACCAUCACAGAGACACCACUAGGCUUUGUUACAAUCUCCUCCUCAGGGACUGACAGCGAUGUAAACUUUAUCUGCCCAACAUCACCACCUACAACCAUCCCUCCCCUUUUGAUUACCACUGUCCCUCCCCUCAUUACUACCACUGUCCCUACUCUUUUAAAUACCACUGUUCCUACCCUUUUUAACACUACUGUCCCUACUAGUUUCCCUGUUAUUCCAACCAUGCAUAGCAAUGGUGAAAAUCUGAUCUACUUCACCUCUCUCUCUGUUCUUGUUGUGUUGCUCCAUGUGUUUAUGGGAAGUGGAAUGUAACUCAUUUAUACAUUUACUCAAGUCUUAUACUUAAUGACAUCCUUGAAAUACUUGUACUUUACAUUUGUGAUCUUUAUUAACAAAUCAAACCCUUUUUAUUGCAUGAGGGAAUUUAUUGUAUCUAGACAUGUUUAGUUAUUAAAACAUAUAUCAUUUUAAAGUAGCUUUAAUUUUCAUGUAUUUCAUUUUGAUUUUAUGCACUUGCAGAAUAAGUCUGGAAGACUUUCACAAGCCAUAAACUUGUAAAGUUGGACAGAAAUCAAUGCACGCUUUUAUAAUUCUUAAUGUAUGUUUAUUGAUCAUAUCAUAUGAGAGUUAAAUUUCUAGGUGGAGGCUAAGUAAAAAACAAAGUCGCAACUCUCACUCUAAGCGGAAGGUUAGGUUUCAAGGAUGAACUGAACUGAAGGAAUAGACUUUGUGCUGUGAAAUGCCUGUUGUCUCUGUGUUUUGUCAGUUCAUAUAUAAGACUUAAAUGGGCAGUGCAGAUAUUCAGAGACAGCUGCAUGGGCAUCUGACCUGGCUGUUUUCUCUCCAUGCUGCUGCAUGUGAUUAAACCCAGUUCAAAAGAUUCUCAUCAAGUGUAAAACUUCCAUGACAGUAGUGACACAUUGGUCUGCUUCCCACGUGUUUGUGGCGAAUCUACAUUUUACAUCACUUUCCCUUUCCCACAGUGUAAAGCUAUGACUGUGAUUGUGACAUCAGUGGUCUAGUCCAAACAUCUUUCUGCUGGCCUUCACAGGUCACUCAGCCUUCACUUUGCAUACUUUAAAUGUCACUGUGCAUCUAUGAUUCUUCCUUGCAGACAACUUUGUGCAAUCCACCUCCUCCCCACCACCACCUCUCCCUUAUCACUCAGAUUCCAAAGGUUGCUACACACAGAACAUACCUGUAGCAAUCAAGUAUAUGUGAGGCAUCUGGCAAUCAGCUCACAACUAUUUCAGCUGGGGCCUGCCCUUCAGUCUUUGCUAGUGAUUGACAAAGCAGGCUUUAUGAAACACUAAAACAUUUGAAGCAUUUGUGCUGGAAUUAUAUUGAGGCUUCAACACAUUAUAAAAGCCCAUCUCCACAGGGACAUCUGCUGGCAAAUUUGGCUAUUGCCACAUCUUGAAGAUGCUGUUAUGUGAAAUGGUGAUGCAGUUAAGCCCUGCACAAUUCCAAAUACAGCUGCUUGUAAAGCCAGACAGUGAAAAAUUAUGAUCAACUUUUGGAAAAAUUCCAACACAAACAAGGCAAGAGAAAAACUGGGACCAGUUGAUCAGUUUCUGUGUGCAAAAGUAGAAAGUGGUUAAAUGUAGUACACUGGCAAAAUGCCUGGUUCCUGUGAAUAAACAACCAUUUAAGUCAAGUCAAGUCAACUUUAUUUAUAUAGCAUAUUUAAAUGACAUCAAGUGUUGGCCAAAGUGCUGAGUGCAGAGGGAUAAUAUAAUCAAACAAAACAUAAUUAAAAUUGAUAAGAGGAAAAACAUUAAAAACAUUGUAAGACAUCUAUAUAUGUUUGUAAGAAUAUAUAUGUAUAUGCAAAUGUGCGCAUACAUAUGCAAGUAUAUACAUGUAUAUGUAUACACUUGCACACAUCAUCCAAUGAGUGUUACUGUGUGAAAUAGCCUGUUCUCCCCCCGUAUUGUGCACAAUAAUAUACAGGGCCCCAAAAUACAGUAAGGACUUUAUAAAGGAAUUUGCUGCAUUUCUAACUGAAGUCACGAUAAAAUAUGACUGCUUUCUUAUUGUUGGGGAUUUUAAUAUUCAUGUGUGCUGUCCAGAUAAGCCCAUGGUUAAAGACUUUUUGAAUCUUACUGAUUCUUUUAAUUUAGUUCGAUGUGUGUCUGCACCCACGCAACUGUGUGGCCACACUCUAGAUCUGGUUUUAGCGCACUCAUUGCCUGUUUUUAAUCUGAAAGUCUCUGAUCCUGUUUUUUCUGAUCAUAUUUUGGUUCUGUUUGACAUCUCUUUAUCUAGAAAUGAAUUCAGGGGGCAUGUCCCUGCUAAGACAUCUCGUUUGUUAAAUUCUUCCAUGGCAGCACGGUUCUCCACCUACUAUGAUCAGUUCUCCAUUCCUGAGACACUCCAAUACGUAGAGGAACUCAGUUUUUGGUUUCAUACCACUUGUCAGACUGUCUUGGAUAUUGUUGCCCCUCUAAAAAUCAGGCAUCCUAAUACUAAGUUUGA